rnacentral:rRNA from 1 species
AAAGCCUGUCUCAGUUCGGAUUGGAGUCUGCAACCCGACUCCAUGAAGCUGGAUUCGCUAGUAAUCGCGCAUCAGCCACGGCGCGGUGAAUACGUUCCCGGGCCUUGUACACACCGCCCGUCAAGCCAUGGAAGCCGGGAGUGCCUGAAGUGCGUGACCGCAAGGAGCGUCCUAAGGCAAUACCGGUGACUGGGGCUAAGUCGUAACAAGGUAUC